GCCUCCUCGAUCUGCAUCCAACAUCAGCGCCCAAUCUGCUUCCACUCGUCGACGUCUCCUCUCCAUCUAUGCCACAAUUGCUCCCUCCUUCCAUCGCCCCUCUCCACCUACAUACACCGUUGGCCCCUUUGCCUUCACGCGACGCAGCCACCCUCUUCGCAUACACAUGCUCGUGGUGAGCACGCAACAACAUAGAGAGCAUAAGAAAAGAUCCGCUAUCGAUUGAAAGAGGAGUAGGAGGUUUGCUGCCACAAGAGAGGGAGGAGAAGAUCCUACCGCAAGAGGUGCAAGGGAAGAACAAGACAUGCAAAGUGGACGCCCCUACCUAUGUGUGUCUAGGUAUCUAGCACGUAGUUGUGCACAAUGUCAAAUUUCCAACAACAGUGAGCUAGGUUCACAGCCACAGCGAAAGCUAGACUCGAAUAUGGCCAGCUGGUUUCUUCGGAUGCAGGCAACCUAGAACUCUAGAAGAAGAGUACAAGAGGAUAAAAAGCAUGCAUGCGAUGUAUCGUCAUUGCUUGCCAUCGAGGUCGAGGCCUUAUUUAGUUGGAGGUCAAAAAGUUUUUUUAUGUCACAUUAAAUAUUACACGGGUGUUGUUGAAGUG